rnacentral:rRNA from 1 species
CCUACGGGUGGCAGCAGUGAGGAAUAUUGGUCAAUGGCCGAGAGGCUGAACCAGCCAAGUCGCGUGAGGGAAGACGGCCCUACGGGUUGUAAACCUCUUUUGUCGGGGAGCAAAGCGAGUCACGUGUGACUCAUUGAGAGUACCCGAAGAAAAAGCAUCGGCUAACUCCGUGCCAGCAGCCGCGGUAAUACGGAGGAUGCGAGCGUUAUCCGGAUUUAUUGGGUUAAAGGGGUGGGAAGGCGGAGGAGCAAGUCAGCGGUAAAAUUGCGGGGCUCAACCCCGUACUGCCGUUGAAACUGCCUCCCUUGAGUGCAGGAGAGGUAUGCGGAAUGCGUGGUGUAGCGGUGAAAUGCAUAGAUAUCACGCAGAACUCCGAUUGCGAAGGCAGCAUACCGGCGCGCAACUGACGCUGAUGCACGAAAGCGUGGGUAUCGAACAGGAUUAGAUACCCCAGUAGUC